AUCCUGGCUCCCUGCCCCUCCCUUCCCCUUCUGGCCCUGAUCCUGGUUCAGUUCCUCACCUCAUUCCCAUCCUGGCUCUCUGCCCUGCCCCUCCCCUCCCCUCCAGGCCCCAAUCCUGGCUGCCUGCCCCUCCUCUCCCGGCCCCGAUCCUGGUUCAGUUCCUCACCUCAUUCCCAUCCUGGCUGCUUGCCCCUCCCCUCAACCUUGGCCCCGGUCCCAGUCCCAAUCCUGAGUUCUCAUCCUCUCUGCACCUCCCAUACUUGGGCCUAGUCCCGAUCCUGCCCCCUUCAUCCCUGGGCCCUGGCAAUCCCCUAGUCCCCUCCUGGGCCCUUUUCCCUAAGCCUAGGGCUCCAGUUACCCACUCACCAAACACACACCCAUGUAAUGCCCUACCUGCUAGCUCCUCCCCUGGCCCCAGUCUUCUCCCAACCGGUCUGUGUGCUGCUGUUGCCCCACAGCCCUCCCAGGUAUGUGACAGCAGUUUUACUGAAGUGGGCUAGCACUGGAUGGCUUCACGGAAGAAGUGAGUUAUAAGCUAAGAAUUCCAGUCAUGGAUCAAGGUACGAAGACAAUAAACCCUAUUCCAGAGAUCUUACAGUUUACGGGCAGACAUGAUGCAACAGGACAGGUUGUUUCUGGAGUGUAACUACAGCUCUUAAGAGAGAUUGGCAACUGUUCAUCUAAUGAACGGGACUGAUCCUACUCUCAGUGAAGUCAACUGGAAGACAACGGGGCCAAAUCUUUCCACUGCUGGCACCAGAGCAUCCUGCACUGCAGCUCCUCUCAUCUGUCUGCCUGACCAACUCUCAGUUUCUUUGCAAAUAUCAGCAGAAAUGGUUCUCCUUGCUUCUGCCUCUGUAUUUCUGCCUCCAUCUGCUAGUAUUUAUUAACAUGAUAGUUGUAUUAUUUACAGCAGUUCUGUAAUGCACUUUUGGAUACAGUUUGAACGAAGGAUGCUACCUCAAACAGAGGUAUUUUGUAACUUAACGUUUCGAUUCUGGACUUAAUUGGCCAAUGGCAAAAUUAGAAAACUACAUUUACUUUGAUAACAAAGGCUGUUUUUCAGUCAAAUUGCUUACAUACCAAAUGCUGAAUUGCAAGGAAUAUUGGCGGACUACCUCUCCAUUGCUUUGCAAAUAUCAGCAGAGGAAGCCAGUCUGAAUGCACCUCUAAAGAAACACAAGUUUGGCUUUUACCUCUGAAUUUUAGGGCUACAUGGUAAUGACCGGAGAUUUCCUCAAAGAGUGCAACUCUGUUAGCUCAUUGCAGCAUAUCUGUAUCUUGUUGUUAUGUGCAAGCAGUUUAAUAAAACGUUAUUACAGCAACAGUAAAGCCAGGCUAGAGAGCACUGAGCAUUCCCCGAACAACCUUAUUUCAGCCCAUUUAAAGUCCAAAAGAGGUUUGGACCAUGGCCCAUCAAAUCUUGACACAAAAUAAAUGUUUUCAUCAAAUGCUGCAAUGGUAUCAAUACGUCCCAUGGUAGUGAUUAACUGGCAGGUAUGAUACGUCAUGGGUAAGAUUCACUGGCUAUAGAGAGUUUGUAUUCUGGCUGUGGGCCACGUUCAGAUCUCAGUUACGCUGGGGAAAAUCUGAAUUAACUCCAGUGAAGUCAAUACAGUUAUCUCCAGAUUUUCAUCAGUGUCACUAAGUGCUGACCCUGCGUUUUUAGAAGUAUUGUACUUGGUGAAUUAGAAAAAUAAACUUU